UAGAGAUGCAGUCAUUCAGGAAUUAAUUCAUUCCUCCGUUCAUUCAUUCAUAAGCAUGUAGCAAGCUCUGUUCCAGGCACUGGAGAUUCAAAGAUGCAUCGGGUCCUGUACUUUGGGAGGCCACAGUCCGCUAGUGAGAUAUCAGGUCCAGUCCAACUUUUACCUCAAUAUGAGAACCGUCCCAGCCUGGCUGUUGAGUCAUGCGAUGGUCCACCUCACUAAGCCACCUGACAAAUCCUCAAGACUUUCAGUGUCCCACGUGAUGGCGAGGUGAAAGGACGGCCACUUUCCAGGGACCCUCCAUUUCUACACCUGUUGCCAACCACUCUGCCAUCCUCUGACAAGGACCCCUCAAUGAGCCUUUUGUCCCUGAAGCUCGUGUGACACCUCUAAAAGAUCCAUCAUCUUUGAGUGCCUGUGAUUCUUCAUAUGUGACCUGAGAAGAUUAAAGGCAACUUCUCCAUAGCCGUGGGAGGCCUUGGCAUUGAAAUGUAUCCAAAGUACCAUGAGAUCCUCAGGUGUUUUUCUUAUCCUUGAAGCUGUUCCUGAAAUCCUUCUUAGCAGGGUAUGAGGCCUGGGAGAUUAUCCCAUGGUUUUCUUAAAGGUGAAAUCUGGUUAAACAACAGUGGCUGCCAUAAUGGAGGGAAGCUGAAGAGUAAAGGCAAGAAGGCAGUCAUCUGGCAAACAUGUUGGAGGAAAAGGACAGUACACAAAGUAGGUGGGGCUUAGUUCUCUUCCUCUUGAGCGUGGGCUGGACCUGCUGACUCACUUUAAUGAAUGGAAGAAGGAAGGGGAGUGUAAGUUUACAGCAGAGAAGACUGGAAGACAACACCUUAACCACAUGAUCAUGAUUAACAUCCCCAGCCAUGAGUCACGUGGGCAGCGUGGUGACUAAACACGAGGUUACCCAAAAAAUCUUGGAAAGGAAUAAAAGGCCGUCAGUGGAAAAGCUGGUGAAAUCCAAACGAUGUCUACAGUCGAGCUGAUAGUAACAUGCAAAGAAAAGGUUAAGAAAGAGAAGCCUCCUCCUAGGAAGAACUCAUGAUACAUUUAUUUCCUUUCAAGGGAAACUGACAUCCAAAUGAUGCUUGAAAGCCUUUAGGGGAUGUGACAACCCCUCUACUCUAUUUACCCUGGAAGGGAGAGUGGGAAGAGGCUCACCGCUCAUCAGAAUACUCAGGGGUCCCCUGAGCCAGCCUCCUACAGGUGGUAAGAUAAGCCCCUCGGUGAAGUUCAGGCUAUCACCAAGCUGUGUGCAGAAGGAUUCAAAGCCAGAAAUGAGGGACGCUUGGCGAUAAACUGCUGUGACCAGCCCCGCUGCUUCUUUCCUAUCCAAUAUCUUCCUGAAGAUACAGUCACCACAGGACCAUACAUAUUUGCAAAU